UAUGUACUUUUAAUGACAUCCUGCAACCC
rnacentral:sRNA from 1 species